UACAGAGGUCUCAAGCGUUGUUCGGAAUCACCUGGGCGUAAAGGGUGCGUAGGUGGCGUGGUAAGUCAGAUGUGAAAGCCCAGGGCUCAACCCUGGAAUUGCAUCCGAUACUACCAUGCUAGAGUACUGAAGAGGUGACUAGAAUUCUCGGUGUAGCAGUGAAAUGCGUAGAUAUCGAGAGGAAUACCAAAGGCGAAGGCAGGUCACUGGGCAGUUACUGACACUGAGGCACGAAGGCUAGGGGAGCAAACGGG
rnacentral:rRNA from 1 species